rnacentral:rRNA from 1 species
GGUUAAGCGACUAAGCGUACACGGUGGAUGCCCUGGCAGUCAGAGGCGAUGAAGGACGUGCUAAUCUGCGAAAAGCGUCGGCGAGGUGAUAUGAACCCUUGACCCGGCGAUGUCCGAAUGGGGAAACCCAGUGCAAUCCGUUGCACUAUCGUUAACUGAAUACAUAGGUUAACGAGGCGAACCGGGGGAACUGAAACAUCUAAGUACCCCGAGGAAAAGAAAUCAACCGAGAUUCCCCCAGUAGCGGCGAGCGAACGGGGAGCAGCCCGGAGUCUGAAUCAGCUUGUGUGUUAGUGGAACGGUCUGGAAAGUCCGACGGUACAGGGUGAUAGUCCCGUACACGAAAGCACACUUGCUGUGAACUCGAAGAGUAGGGCGGGACACGUGGUAUCCUGUCUGAAUAUGGGGGGACCAUCCUCCAAGGCUAAAUACUCCUGACUGACCGAUAGUGAACCAGUACCGUGAGGGAAAGGCGAAAAGAACCCCGGCGAGGGGAGUGAAAAAGAACCUGAAACCGUGUACGUACAAGCAGUGGGAGCCUCUUUAUGGGGUGACUGCGUACCUUUUGUAUAAUGGGUCAGCGACUUAUAUUCUGUAGCAAGGUUAACCGUAUAGGGGAGCCGAAGGGAAACCGAGUCUUAACUGGGCGUUAAGUUGCAGGGUAUAGACCCGAAACCCGGUGAUCUAGCCAUGGGCAGGUUGAAGGUUGGGUAACACUAACUGGAGGACCGAACCGACUAAUGUUGAAAAAUUAGCGGAUGACCUGUGGCUGGGGGUGAAAGGCCAAUCAAACCGGGAGAUAGCUGGUUCUCCCCGAAAGCUAUUUAGGUAGCGCCUCGUGAACUCAUCUUCGGGGGUAGAGCACUGUUUCGGCUAGGGGGCCAUCCCGGCUUACCAACCCGAUGCAAACUACGAAUACCGAAGAAUGUUAUCACGGGAGACACACGGCGGGUGCUAACGUCCGUCGUGAAGAGGGAAACAACCCAGACCGCCAGCUAAGGUCCCAAAGUCAUGGUUAAGUGGGAAACGAUGUGGGAAGGCACAGACAGCCAGGAUGUUGGCUUAGAAGCAGCCAUCAUUUAAAGAAAGCGUAAUAGCUCACUGGUCGAGUCGGCCUGCGCGGAAGAUGUAACGGGGCUAAACCAUG